rnacentral:rRNA from 1 species
UCCGGUUGAUCCUGCCGGAGGUCACUGCUAUUGGGGUUCGACUAAGCCAUGCGAGUCGAGAGGGUUAGACCCUCGGCGAACUGCUCAGUAACACGUGGGUAAUCUACCCUCAGGACAGGGAUAACCCCGGGAAACUGGGGAUAAUACCUGAUAGGUGAAGAUGUCUGGAACGAUUCUUCGCUCAAAGCUCCGGCGCCUGAGGAUGAGCCUGCGGCUGAUUAGGUUGUUGGCGGUGUAACGGACCACCAAGCCUGAGAUCAGUACGGGCACUGAGAGGUGUAGCCCGGAGAUGGGGUCUGAGACACGGCCCCAGGCCCUACGGGGCGCAGCAGGCGCGAAAACUCCGCAAUACGCGAAAGCGUGACGGGGGAACCCCAAGUGCGUCAUCGCAAGAUGAUGCUUUUUUAGAGUGUAAAUAGCUUUAAGAAUAAAAGCGGGGUAAGACCGGUGCCAGCCGCCGCGGUAACACCGGCCGCUUGAGUGGUGAUCGCUAUUAUUGGGCCUAAAGCGUUCGUAGCCGGUUUGGUAAGUCCUUGGGUAAAUCCUGACGUUCCACGUUAGGAAUUCCAGGGAUACUGCCUGACUCGGGGCCGAGAGAAGUCGGAGGUACUCCUGGGGUAGUGGUGAAAUACUGUAAUCCUGGGGGGACCACCAGUGGCGAAGGCGUCCGACUAGAGCGGGCUCGACGGUGAGGAACGAAAGCCAGGGGAGCGAACGGGAUUAGAUACCCCGGUAGUCCUGGCCGUAAACGCUGUGGGCUAGGUGUUGCAUGCUCUACGGGGGCGUGCAGUGCCGAAGAGAAGUUGAUAAGCCUACCGCCUGGGAAGUACCAUCGCAAGUUGGAAACUUAAAGGAAUUGGCGGGGGAGCACCACAAGGGGUGAAGUCUGCGGUUCAAUUGGAUUCAACGCCGGACAUCUCACCAGGGGCGACGGCAGGAUGAAGGCCAAGCUGACGACUUUGCUGAACGAGCCGAGAGGAGGUGCAUGGCCGUCGUCAGCUCGUACCGUGAGGCGUCCUGUUAAGUCAGGCAACGAGCGAGACUCGUACCCUUAGUUGUCAUCAGAUCCCUUCGGGGAUGCUGGACCCACUAGGGGGACCGCUGCUGAUAAAGCAGAGGAAGGAGCGAGCGACGAUAGGUCAGCAUGCCCCGAAUCCCCUGGGCUACACGCGGACUGCAAUGGUUAGGACAAAGAGUCCCGACUUCGAAAGAAGAAGGAAAUCUUCCAAACCUAACCCUAGUUCAGAUUGUGGGCUGUAAUUCGCCCACAUGAAGCCGGAAUCCCUAGUAAUCGCGUGUCAUUAUCGCGCGGUGAAUAUGUCCCUGCUCCUUGCACACACCGCCCGUCACACCACCUGAGUGAGGUUUGGAUGAGAUUUUAUCCACCAGGGUAAGAUCGAAUCUAGAUUUCGUAAGGGGGGUGAAGUCGUAACAAGGUAACCGUAGCGGAAGCUGCGGUUG